rnacentral:rRNA from 1 species
GACGAACGCUGGCGGCGUGCUUAACACAUGCAAGUCGAACGGUGAUGCUCCAGCUUGCUGGAGUGGAUCAGUGGCGAACGGGUGAGUAACACGUGAGCAACCUGCCCCAGACUCUGGAAUAAGCGCUGGAAACGGCGUCUAAUACUGGAUACGAGACUGGCCCGCAUGGGCAUGGUUUGGAAAGUUUUUCGGUUUGGGAUGGGCUCGCGGCCUAUCAGCUUGUUGGGGAGGUAAUGGCUCACCAAGGCCACGACGGGUAGCCGGCCUGAGAGGCCGACCGGCCACACUGGGACUGAGACACGGCACAGACUCCUACGGGAGGCAGCAGUGGGGAAUAUUGCACAAUGGGCGAAAGCCUGAUGCAGCGACGCCGCGUGAGGGAUAACGGCCUUCGGGUUGUAAACCUCUUUCAGCAGGGAAGAAGCGAAAGUGACGGUACCUGCAGAAGAAGCACCGGCUAACUACGUG